UCACAAAGAAGGCUCUCAUGAUCGCUGUUGUGAGGUGCAUGUUAAUGCCUAAGAUUACACAAAUCUUUACCCCAAACAAUCACCAUGUUCUCUUACUCAAAGCUCCUUCUCCUAGUAACUAUUGCAGCGACUUCCACAAUACCCGCCAAAGAUCCUACUCGUUGAUGUCUUAUACCUCAGCAUUUUCUCUCCCACAUAAUGUCACCACAUAAGGAUAAUCAAUCACCGACUUCCUACUCACUACUAUGAUGUAUCCGUGAAGAUAGACUAAUCACUAUGAUUACAUUUACUGCUACUAAGAAUACACGUUGAGCCAUGUAAAGUGAUGAAGCAUGCAUCAUAGAAGAUCAAAGCAAAGACAAUGAUAAUAUCAUCAACAAUCAUUGAUAUCACCAUUGUAUAUAUAUAGACCCUAAUGACUACAAGGAUUGGCUCCUAAC
rnacentral:lncRNA from 1 species